GCAGGUGUGGCGGAAUUGGCAGACGCACUAGACUUAGGAUCUAGCGCCUUUGGCAUGGGGGUUCAAGUCCCUUCACCUGCACCA
rnacentral:tRNA from 1 species